rnacentral:rRNA from 1 species
GACAGAGGGUGCAAACGUUGUUCGGAAUUACUGGGCGUAAAGCGCGUGUAGGCGGCUAUGCAAGUCGGACGUGAAAUCCCACGGCUCAACCGUGGAAGUGCGCUCGAAACUGCGUAGCUAGAGUCCUGGAGAGGAAGGUGGAAUGCUUGGUGUAGCGGUGAAAUGCGCAGAUAUCAGGAAGAACACCCGUGGCGAAGGCGGUUCUCUGGAACGCAACUGACGCUGAGACGCGAAAGCGUGGGAGCAAACAGG